GGUAGUAGGUGAGGUAGCAGCUCACCUAGCCGACGACGGGUAGCCGGACUGAGAGGUCGAUCGGCCCCAUUGGGACUGAGAUACGGCCCAGACUCCUACGGGAGGCAGCAGUGGGGAAUAUUGCGCAAUGGGGGAAACCCUGACGCAGCAACGCCGCGUGCGGGAUGAAGGCCUUCGGGUUGUAAACCGCUUUCAGCAGGGAAGAUCCAAGACGGUACCUGCAGAAGAAGCCCCGGCUAACUACGUGCCAGCAGCCGCGGUAAUACGUAGGGGGCGAGCGUUAUCUGGAUUCAUUGGGCGUAAAGCGCGCGCAGGCGGGUUGCUAAGCGGGACCUCUAAUCUCAGGGCUCAACCUUGAGCCGGGUCCCGAACUGGCAGCCUCGGGUUCGGUAGGGGAGAUCGGAAUUCCCGGUGUAGCGGUGGAAUGCGCAGAUAUCGGGAAGAACACCGAUGGCGAAGGCAGAUCUCUGGGCCGCAACCGACGCUGAGGCGCGAAAGCUAGGGGAGCGAACAGGAUUAGAUACCCUGGUAGUCCUAGCCGUAAACGAUGGAAGCUAGGUGUGGGGGAGAGACUUCCUCCGUGCGGCAGCUAACGCAUUAAUCGUCCUGCCUGGGGAGUACGGCCGGAAGGCGAAGACUCAGAGGAAUGGAGGGCGGCCCGCACUAGCAGAGGUGCAGGUGGAUUAAUUCGAAGCAACACGACGUUCCUUGCCACGGCGUGACAGGUUAGGGAAGCGGAGGAAUCGCCGUGGCCGUGAGGAGCUGGGGCAGGUGGUGCAUGGCUGUCGUCAGUGUCGGUCGUGAGAUGUUGGUUUAAGUCCCGCAACGAGCGCAACCCCUGUCCUGUGUUGCCAGCAUUCAGGUUGGGGACUCACUAGGAGACUGCCGGCGUCAUGCCGGAGGAAGGUGGGGUCGACGUCAAGUCAUUAUGCCCCUUAGGCCCUGGGCGGCACUCGUGGUACAAUGGUCGGCACAAAGGGUUUCCACCCGGCGAAGGGGAGCGGAUCCCUCAAAGCCGGCCCCAGUUUGGAUCGCAGGCUGUAACCUGCCUGCGUGAAGUCGGAGUUGCUAGUAAUCGCGGAUCAG
rnacentral:rRNA from 1 species